rnacentral:lncRNA from 1 species
CUGACUUCCACUUUAAAGUAUCAUCGUAGUGAAAUUAUCAUCAGAAUUAUGGAAGAUAAAGAAAGUAAUAGUAUCUAGUCUUAACUUCAAUUGUAAUAACAAAAUAAAAUAGUUUUAAUCAAUCAACUCAACAUCUUAAGAAUUCUCAACAACAAAAUUAGUCUUAUGACUUCAACAUAAUCAAGCAUAAGGUAUAAAAUAAGCGUUUAACCCA